GGAAACUUGAAAACUACCGUUGGAUCGAGAAAUGGACGUCCGAGAUUUGUUUACGUCACCAUAAGUUAAAAUUUAACUCGCAGAUUUACUCAUGAGUUAAAAUUUUACUAGGAGUUAAAUUUUAACUCAUAGUAACGUGGACGAAUCUCGGAUGUCCAUUUCGCGAUCUAACGGUAGUUUCCAAGUUUUC
rnacentral:pre_miRNA from 1 species